AAAUAAGGGAAAGUAAGAUGUGGUGUUUUAUGGACAGCAGGCAAAACAAGCUAGCCGUGUGCCUUUGAGAGGACUCUGGAAUCAGAGAUCAUAUACCCAAGCGCUUUUGUUACCUGAGGUCUUCAAGCUUCACAUCCAGGAUCUAUCUGCCUCUGUGGAGAAAAGGAGAGAAGUGGUCCUGAGAUGCCUGAUUGAGUACAUGGGGGAGAGACAGGAAGACCUCAUCAGUGUCCACCACAGUCGUGAUGAAACAGAGGUGCACGCUGAGCUUGGCAGUUACCCACUGAAAAUGUACAUGUGCCAUCAGCCCGACACGAUUGGGAUUAUCAUAGAAGGACAGCCCGUGGUCAGAGGUGUGCCAAACCUGUCGAAAGCAUGCUGCCUCCUGUUUGGACUUGCCUAUGCCCUCAACCUCAAGUAUCCCUCAAAACUGGUGUAUACUUUUGAGAUAUAUCAGAGGCUCUUUGUGGGAUUGGACCCCAUGCGUCCUAAGCCAUCAUCCAAGUAUGAAACUCAAGUGUUUGUUUUAUAUUAUUGUGUACAUGACG